rnacentral:rRNA from 1 species
AGUGAACGCUGGCGGUAGGCCUAACACAUGCAAGUCGAACGGCAGCACAGUAAGAGCUUGCUCUUACGGGUGGCGAGUGGCGGACGGGUGAGGAAGACAUCGGAAUCUACUUUUUCGUGGGGGAUAACGUAGGGAAACUUACGCUAAUACCGCAUACGACCUACGGGUGAAAGCAGGGGAUCUUCGUACCUUGCGCGAUUGAAUGAGCCGAUGUCGGAUUAGCUAGUUGGCGGGGUAAAGGCCCACCAAGGCGACGAUCCGUAGCUGGUCUGAGAGGAUGAUCAGCCACACUGGAAGUGGGACACGGUCCAGACUCCUACGGGGAGAAGCAGUGGGCAAUAUUGGACGAUGGGCGCAAGCCUGAUCCAGCCAUACCGCGUGGGUGAAGAAGGCCUUCGGGUUGUAAAGCCCUUUUGUUGGGAAAGAAAAGCAGCAGGUUAAUACCCCGCUGUUCUGACGGUACCCAAAGAAUAAGCACCGGCUAACUUCGUG